ACACAACAUCGCGGGAAGUUGACCACUAGGCACUGGCAUUUCUCCGUAGAGGGACUACAUAUAGAUGAAUGGAUAAAAAUAGAAUGAUGGUCCAACAACAGAACGCAUUGGAUAUAUCAGUUCGUCGUGGCUGCAAACCAGUGACGUUUCCGAACUCGCCUAUCAACGAACCUCUCAAUUUAUCUCUAACGGAUAGACGCUCCCCACCACCGGACGUAACGCCUCCCCAAACGCCUGCUACGCCUCUCACGCCUUCGACGCCCUGUAGUCCAGCGUCAAGGAUUGCUUUCAAGAAAAGCUUAUUAAAACGCUUUUACGUGGACGAAAAGGGCGAAAGUCGAAAGAAGCUGCUACGCAAAGUAGACAAUCACGCUUCGCACUCGGCCGAUAGCGACCUAUCGAUAUCGGAUGCAAAAUGCCUGGACGAUAAGCCUUCGAAAGGUUUACCAGUUUCGCUUGCCGACCUCAGUAUACAGCAAACAUUGCAGUCGCACUACGCCGCUGCACCUGCGCAGUAUUUAGAAAAUUACGCCAUGCUCCAAAUGCCACCUCCUCCCCUUAUACCUGCUUCAUCGCCGCAUUUAGGUCACUUUGAUUAUAAUUUUAUACCGGAAACACCUACUUCACCCACAAAGAGGAAGAACGAAAAUGGGUCGCCGAUAACGCCAAAACGCAAGCGAGAUUCGUCGACAACGUACCUGUGGGAGUUCCUACUGCAAUUGUUACAGUCGCCUGAAUAUUGCCCCCGUUAUAUCAAGUGGACAGAUCGAUCGAAAGGCAUUUUCAAAUUAGUCGACUCAAAAGCUGUUUCGCGAUUAUGGGGUCUGCAUAAGAACAAACCGGAUAUGAAUUAUGAAACGAUGGGUAGGGCUUUACGGUAUUAUUACGCCAGAGGAAUUUUGAAUAAAGUAGAUGGACAAAGACUCGUUUAUCAGUUUGCCACUGUACCUAAGAAUAUUGUGGAAAUCAACUGCCAGGAUUCUUAGCCCUCAAUACGUUUCUCCUAGUUAUAUGAAAAAAUUUUUAUAGAACAAAUUUUUUCCAAUUUGCAGAAGAACUGUUAAAAAAGCCCUAAUAUCUUUCCUUUUACUUGUAUUAUUAUGAACCAUUUGGAAGAGAGAAUUGUUCAAGGAAACUUUUUUUGUUUUCUUUUAAGAAAAAGUUGGACUAGUCUAAAGAAAAGCCAAGAAAAAAUAGUAAAAAAUCUGAAAAGUUACAUUUUACUUCAAUUUUUGUUGUUUGUUUUCAAAUAUAUACAACAUUAUGGUUAUUUCAGGGAGAUAUGUAAAAUGAGUGCUACGCCAUCUAUGGCACUUGACUAUUUUCGUUAAUCACGAAUAUUUUGUUCAUUUUAAAAGACUAUCAAUGCCCUCCAAUUAACUAUUAGGUAGGUGUUUUUUUCAUUUGAUAAAAGGAAGAAACAGAUGGUCAAUAGAAGUAAAUCAGAUUAUUACAAAGUGAAAUUAAAUAUUAUCCUUACACUGUAAGGAUACUGUUUAAUCUAGAGUAUUCUAUUUUGAUAUAUUUCACUGUUAUGUAGUUUAUAUAUAGACAAUAUUCUUUUUUAUUACGUCUUUAUACAUAUGUACUUUUAAUGUAUAUAUUACCAUUAAUUCCUAUUUUACUUUAGAAAAGGCCUCAUACUCUCUAUUAAUAAUAUCCCUAAACAACUAACUACUGGUUUACUUCCCACCAAAUUUAAACUGUGAAAUUGAUUAGACUAUGAUUAGCGAGUCGAAUAUUAAAAAAAAACAUAUUAUCAUUGAAGUCAAGUAGGUUGGAUAUAACUAUAAAAGAUAAAGAAAUGAGAAUUGCGUACGAAACUUUCAAGUAAAACCUGAGCUGAAAAUUCAAGGUCACUUAAAUAUAGAAAUUUCUUUCUCACAGAAGAAGGUUACAAUGUAAAAAACUACAUUUAAAGUGUAUCGUACGAAACCUACUAAAGUAGAGACAAGUUUCCUUUACUCUCGUCCUAACUAUUAUGAAUUGAACAGCUAAUUGAUAAAGAAUUAUAUUGAGUUAAUGUUCCAAUUUUUGAACUGAUCUAAUGUCCCAAAUUUUUAAGGCGGUGUACUCGUCUUACAGUGAUUGUUUUUGUCGGUAGUUAAAGCAUACCACACUGCCCUGCAUGUUCAAAUGCAAGCUAACGAGUUAAAUUAAUAAGUAAAUUUCCUUUAAGGAGUAAAAGGGAAAUGAAGGAAUAUUGUGAUAAGGGAAAUUUGAAUUCAUUCUUAUUAUCUAAAGAGUUUAUUUUUCUGAACCGUGGCUUUG
rnacentral:misc_RNA from 1 species